rnacentral:ncRNA from 2 species
CAAUAACAAGUACCACCACCUCGUAUAAUCGUGGGAAUCGGCCCACAAGUCUCUACCGGAUGACCGGAAUCAUCCGACUACGAGUGAAAACGCUUCCCCA